rnacentral:rRNA from 1 species
UACGAAGGGUGCAAGCGUUAAUCGGAAUUACUGGGCGUAAAGGGUGCGUAGGCGGUUCGUUAAGUCUGUCGUGAAAUCCCCGGGCUCAACCUGGGAAUGGCGAUGGAUACUGGCGAGCUAGAGUGUGUCAGAGGAUGGUGGAAUUCCCGGUGUAGCGGUGAAAUGCGUAGAGAUCGGGAGGAACAUCAGUGGCGAAGGCGGCCAUCUGGGACAACACUGACGCUGAAGCACGAAAGCGUGGGGAGCAA